AUAAAAUCAGGAAACAUCUGACAGAGAUCACGCAGCGGGCACCCACUAUGGGUUUCAUCAUCGCUCACUUCCCUUGGAUCAACUAGAAAUCAACUCAGAUGAGAGUGCUGAGUCUCAGAGGAUGGACGUCUCACUCCUUGCCAUACAGAUAAGUAGAAAGGGUGGUAUUGAAAUUAAUGGCCAGACUCUAAGUCCCGGGCACUAUACUUGAUGGUCUCCCAACCCUCAAAAUGUUGUGGGUUCUUUUUUGUUUUUGAGACGGAGUCUCAUUCUGUUUCCCAGGCUGGAGUGCAGUGGAGCGAUCUCGGCUCACUGCAACCUCCGCAUCCCAGGUUCAAGCUAUUCUCUUGCCUCAGCCUGCCGAGUAGCUGAGAUUUCAGGCGCCCGCCACUACGCCUGGCUUAUUUUUUUCUCUUUUUAGGAGAGACGGGGUUUCACCGUGUUGGCUAGGCUGGUCUCGAACACCUGACCUUGUGAUUUGCCUGCCUCAGCCUCCCAAAGUGCUGGGAUAACAGGCGUGAGCCACCACGCCCAGCUUCAAAAGUUUUCAACAGAGCUCAGAGGUCUUAACCACAGGCACAUCCGAGGAGCAUUUUUGAAAUGGUUUCCAGCUUCCUCAAUAGGAAUGGAAGCCAAACCCGGAACUGAUGGCUCCUUGGAGGAAGUCGAGAGCUGUAAGGAAAGCCAGGAACAGGGGCAAGGGAGAGAUGCAUCCCGAAUGAUCCUGUGCCAAUUCUUUCUGGAAUCUUUGAUGUGAUCUCCGCUGCCCUUUCCAUACUUGACACAGUGAUUGUGGCACCCACUGGUCUAGCUGUGGUCUACAAGGAACCCCCAAAGGGAAGGGCACAGUGAGCAGGGGCAUCGGCCUGAGUGACAAGGAUUGGAGGGGGCAGGUUGGAUGCAGGGAGAGGACUGGCCAAAUGCCAUGUGUCUGGCUUAGACUACCUUGUUCAAAUUGGGCUUCACCAUUUUUGACUUCGUGAUCUGGUACAAGUUAUAUGAAAAUGUGUUGCUCCUUUUCUAGUCUGUAAAAUCAUAAGGAAAUGUGCACUAAUAACUGGGAGACUAUGCAGAUGAAAUGAAACAAGCUGCAUAGAACACAGAGCUCAGAGCCUGGCCUUUAGGAAGCCCUCAGUAAGGGUUCAUGAUGCCAUGGUGUCUGUCAUCAUCCUCUUUAUCCUCAUCAUCACCUUCAUCAUCUUUUUGUUGUUCUGAGGGCAUACUUUAGAGGGACUCAUUCCCUGCUCUCAUGGGUGAGAUGUCUAUGAAGAGGACAACCAGUGGGGGAGGGAAGCAAAAUUUUGAAGAAGAUUCCUGAGAGAGAUCCCCCACCACAACCAAGAACAGAAACUCCACAGUCUGCUGAGCUGACAGUUUGCACAUUGGUCUCCUCCCAUCUGCCCACGGCACUCUCCCGUUUGUCCUGAAGAUGAGGAAACAAACAAGGCUCCCGACCGUCCCUCAGCACUCACUGAACGGCCCUUCCCCUCUGCUGGGCCAUGACCACGGAGAACAGGUCCACUGUCCUCCCUGAGUGGUGCACAUGGGAGGCUCAGACUCCGUCCUCAAGGCUGGUAAGAAGACAGGGUGAGACAUGAGCCUCCUGAUACAGGUGACGGGUGUGGAGCCCACAGGACUGCAACCUCACACUGCAGGGCUGGAGGCACAGACUGAGUAUUUCCUAUUCUAUGGCCUGGGGGGCUCAAGGCACAGAGCUCCUCAUUAGCCAGAGUCGCCCAUGUUCCCCAUGCUCUAAGGAUUUCCUCAUCAUCAUGCAAGAAGAAGAAUAGAAAAAAGGAAGAGGAAGAAACAAAAGGAACUUCUCUCUUAGAUUUAAUUCUGACCUACCAGGAAGAACUGGAUUGUUGAAGCAGAAGUACUGGAGUCUCUGGAGCUAAAACCAAGGAUAAGAACAUUAAGAUUAUCCUGCUGGAGAGAGAGGCCAUGCGGAAGAACCCUGGAAAAUGAGACAGCUCACAGAGCAAGAGGCCAUGUGGAGAAGGCCUAGAAGUAAAAUGCCUCAUGGAACAAGAGGCCACAUGCAGAAGGCCUGGAGGAUGAGACGCCCUGUGAAGUGAGAGGCCACGUGGAGAAGGCCUAGAGGAGGAGACACCUUAUGGAGCAAGAGGCCGAAUGGAGAAGCCCCAGAGGGUUAGACACCUUGUGGAGCAAGAGGUCACACGCAGAAGUCCUGGGAGUGAGAUGCCUCACGAAGCGAGAUGCCUCGUGAAGCGAGAUGCCUCGUGGAGUGAGAGGCCAUGUGGAAGAACCCUGGAACUCAGCGGCUGAUAACACAAAGAUCCCAUGGUGUGAGAGAGGCCUUCAUGAACUUCCCGUCCAGCCCAGCUAGAGCCAAAUGGAGCCAUAUGUGUGACCGCAAGUGACAUCUACAAAAGAACGACCCAGUCACCCUGAGAAUUGUUAGAAAUGCAAAGCACUAAGUUUUGGGGUAGUUUGUUACACAGCAAUAGCUAACUGAUACAGAUGGUUUGAAUUACUUGACUUUAAAGUUCCUUCUUACCCUGAAAGUUUAUGGCUUAGUAAAGUGAAUUAAGCACAUUUGACUGAAACAGAGAGAUGGUGUAGGAAAAGAUCAGAAGGUAAGGGCAGGGCAAGGUGAGGAAGGCUUUCCGUGCCACGAUAAGGAAUUUGAGCUUUAACUGGUAGGUUCUGAAGCUGUCCCAGGAGGAAGUGACAUGAGAAGAUAGUUUUUUAGGAAGACCCACACUGCAGCAGCAUGUAGAUCAGACACGUGGGCACACAGAGCAGAUGUGAGAGAGAAGGAGGCAUGGAGACCUGAUUGCUGAGGCAAAAAGAUGCAGCUGACAAUUAUGGAGCAACAAGCUACUGAAUACAGAAUUGAACAUUCAGUCUUCAAGACACAGAUGUAAGCUGCUUUCUCUGUAUCAGCCUUCUCUGUAUCAACUCUUCAUUUUUUCCAACUAUGAUGUUUUUACUUUCAAAAAUCCAUGGGAGAAUACAUGGUAUGUCGUUAAAAGCCUGGGAUUUGAAAUAAGAAAGCCUUAGCUUUAAACCCCUUCUCUCACCUUCUAGCUGUGUAACUCUGGGCAAGUUACUGAACCUUGCUGUAUCGCAGCUUCUUCAUUUGUAAAAUGGAUAUAAUGAUAUUUGUCUCACAGGAGUAAUGCAAAGAUAAAAACGGAUUAUGUCUCAUGCAUUUACUUUUACUAAAUGGCUAAAUGCUCAAGCAACACAAAUACAUGAUUAUUUCUCUUUCACGUAACAGUCCAGGUUGGGAGUGUCAGGUUGAGGGGUGGAUCUUUUUCACAUCUUCUUGAAAGAAUUCGUGGUAAAAGCUGUCUUCAGUUUAUGCCUUCCAAGGUUCUUUUGGCCAUCGCCAUUCCAGAAAGAAGAGGAGAAGAGAGCAUGAAGGAGCCCGCCUAACAUGUUUUAUCUGGCUUCUCAGAAAUGGCACAUGCUUCUACUUGCAUUCCAUUGGCAAGAACACACGGCACACCAGCUGCCCACGGGGAUAGGGAAUCCCAGCUAGAAUUCCAUCCAAUAGAAGACAGAGGGGAGAGAAGAGCAGGGUAUUGGUAUCCACGCAAUUCAUCCAUUUAUUCCUCAAGCAUGUGUUAAGCGUUUGGCGAUGCUUCACGAUGUUGGACUCUGGACAUUCACAGAAGAUGAACACAUCUCACAAAAGGUGAAAAUGUUUAAAUCACCUGGGAUAAAGAACAUUCAGGGUUGAAAGAAUACAUGUUUGGUUAUAAUACUGCUUAUUAAGCAAGUAGAAAAUUAGAGUAAAUAUCAGCCCUUUAAGAAGACAGAUCUUCCAGAGAGCCUUAAAGGCAAGGUGGGCAUUUGAUGGUUUUAUCUGGGAACAUGCACUCCAGGUUCACCGUGAGCAGGUGAGAGACAUGGCUACACCUCUGAAAUGCUGCAAGUUCAUUUUUGAAGGAUUUGUCAUAGUAAAACAGAAAAAGUUCCCUUAUCCCCCUUACAGGGCGUGACAAGGGGAGUGGCUCCCUUCUUCCGCGCCCUGCAGCCUAAACCCCUAGGGAGAGCAUGCAGUCGGGCAGGUAGUAGGGAGCGUGGGCUCCAACCCCACCGCAGCGUCUAGGGUUGAGUGUUUACAGUUUUCGAAGCCCCGGUGAGCGUGUGUUGCAGCGUGCUUUUUCAGCUUAGCCAUCCGCAGGCGGCUUGUAUUAAUCAGCUCAAUUAGACCCUCUGCCUUAUCGCAAGGACAGAGGGCUUUUUGUAUCCUGGGGUUCUUGCCUAGUGUACUGGAAAAAUCUGAUCAUACAUGGGCUUGGAGAAUGAGUGCAAGGUUUUAUUGAGUGGUGGAAGUAGCUCUUAGCAGAUGGAUGGGAAGCCGGAAGAGGGAUGGAGUGGGAAGGGGUCUUCCCCUGGAGUCAGGCCGCUCAGUGGCUGGGCUUGCUUCUGACUGCCCUCUGCCAAAUUUCCCUCAGCGUCUGCGUGGUUCCACCGUCGAUGGCCUGCUAGUGUUUUUCUGCGAGUGUGUUCCUCUCGACGCCCAGCUGCUUGUACAUGUGCCCACUAGGGUCUCUCGGGUUUCUAUGGGCAUGGGAUGGCGGGGGGUUGUGGCGGGCCAGGGUGGUCUUGGAAAAUGCAACUUUUGGGCGUGAAAACAGGAAUGCCUGUCCUCACUUAGGUCCGUGGGCACAGGCCUGAGGGUGGAGCCCUGGCCAGGGACCCCAUCCUUCUCUACCCAGCACCUCCCUGCCCCCUCCCGUAUCAAUAGCAAUGAUGAAGGACUCACGCAGCCAUCUUUUCAGGAGCAUGUGACAGCCUGCAUGACCGGAGCCAAUGGUGAAUGUUUAAAUUCUGGGUCCCGAAGCAAUAUCUUGGGAAGGGCCUUCCUCUGUCCCACAGCUUCUAAAAAUGUUCUGUGCUUAUAGUAUUGGCUCAGUUUUGUGGAUGUGUUUCUGGGAUUAUUCAGUGACCUCAGACAGGCUGCUCCAAGUCUCCCUGGACCACCUGCGUAGUUCAGCCAUAUUCUACAGUGAGCACUUAGAUCUGGAUUUUGUCUGGAAACUCAAGUAUAAGACCUAGCACCACUUGCCAAGGACCUCUGCUUUGCUUUGGUAGGCCAAGGGUCUGGCUCUGUUACCCAGGCUGGAUUGCAGUGGUGCAAUCUCGGCUCCUGUAACCUUCACCUCCUGUAACCUUCACCUCCUGGGCUCAACCCAUCCUCUGGCCUCAGCCUCCUGAGGAACUGGGACUUACAGGUGUGCCACCACACACAGCAAUUUUUUUUUUUUUUGUAUUUUUGGUAGAGAUGGGGUUUCAUCAUGUUGGUCAGGCUGGUCUCUAACUCCUGGGCUCAAGUGAUCUGCCCAUCUCAGCCUCCCAAAGUGCUGGGAUUAUAGGCGUGAGCCACCGCACCAAGCCCUACUUUGUAUUUUGAAUAGAAGCAACAGCAGUGAUGGGAUUCGUACUCCAAACCUCAGCGUCACACAACAUUCCCAUGCAGCAAAUCUGCACAUGUAUCCUCUGUAUCUAAAAUAAAAGUUGAAAUGUUUUUAAAAAGAAGCAAUGGUAGCACUCUGUUUUAAACUAAUGUUAAUGUUCUCAAAGCCACAGUGGAAGAAAUCCACUACAUAUCACCUAGAACUGGAGAUCUAAUCUGACAGGUGGGCCACAGUACUAAUAAUGUGAGCACAAUUCCUAUACAAAAUUUUAUUAAACUGUAUUAGUUGAGCAGACAAAACUACACAGACACUCUUCUCUCUGCCUUGUUCCUUCUUGUACUCUG
rnacentral:lncRNA from 10 species